GAUGAACGCUGGCGGCGUGCCUAAUACAUGCAAGUCGAGCGAACAGAUGAGGAGCUUGCUCCUCUGACGUUAGCGGCGGACGGGUGAGUAACACGUGGAUAACCUACCUAUAAGACUGGGAUAACUUCGGGAAACCGGAGCUAAUACCGGAUAAUAUAUUGAACCGCAUGGUUCAAUAGUGAAAGACGGUUUUGCUGUCACUUAUAGAUGGAUCCGCGCCGCAUUAGCUAGUUGGUAAGGUAACGGCUUACCAAGGCAACGAUGCGUAGCCGACCUGAGAGGGGGAUCGGCCACACUGGAACUGAGACACGGUCCAGACUCCUACGGGAGGCAGCAGUAGGGAAUAUUCCGCAAUGGGCGGAAGCCUGAAGGAGUAACGCCGCGUGAGUGAUGAAGGUCUUCGGAUCGUAAAACUCUGUUAUUAGGGAAGAACAAAUGUGUAAGUAACUAUGCACGUCUUGACGGUACCUAAUCAGAAAGCCACGGCUAACUACGUG
rnacentral:rRNA from 1 species